rnacentral:lncRNA from 1 species
UGGGGGGGCUAGGAUGAAAAAUUUUGUCCUGCAUUAUUUUUUAGUUGUAAUCUCUGUCCUGCCUUUUUAUUUUUCACUCUGUUCGGUCCUGCCUUUUUUUGUUUGUUAAUCCUGACUUUUUUUUUACCUAAAUUGUCGUCCUGACUUUUUUUUUUUUGCAAGUGUCUCAUCCUGCCUUUUUUUUUUACUCAAAACUCCUGUCCUGCCUAUUUUUUUCAAAUUUCAUCCUAGCCCCCCCUAAAAAUCAAAUGGUAGCUCCCUAAGGAAGAAAUUAUUAAAGAUUAGGAUAUCAAUCUUUUAUGCUGAAAGUUGAUAAAAAAAAAUACAGCUCUAAAGGAGGUAAGAAAGGUUAGUGAUGUUUAUGGAUUUUUAUUUAAAUUUAACAACAGAUAUGUUGCUUAGUCUUUAGUUUCUAUGUUUUUGUCUUGUGUACUAUUAUUUAUCUUUUUGGGACAUGGCGAUGUCAGUUUUUUUUAUCUACGAGUUUGAAUGACCCUCUGGUAUCAUUCGCCCCUCUUUUACAAGAUUUCGUAUAUUUUAUCAUUAUCUUUAUAGAAAAAUGUUGUUUGAAAUCCUGCUUGGAGUUGUGACAAUCACCAUCUUUAUAUUAUACGGUUACAUCACAAAAGAAAAUCUAAAAAAUCUGCCACCUGGACCGAAAGGGGUAUUUUGGUUCGGAUUAAAGAUAGAUAUCCCGAACAUGCAUUUAGACUUUACUAAAUGGUGGAAAGUUUUCGGAGAUGUAUUUGAAGUGAA